rnacentral:piRNA from 1 species
AGCAGGGAACAGAGACAGAAUGAGGAAGAGC